rnacentral:rRNA from 1 species
UACGGGGGGAGCAAGCGUUGUUCGGAUUUACUGGGCGUAAAGGGCGCGUAGGCGGCGCAACAAGUCACUUGUGAAAUCUCCGGGCUUAACCCGGAGCGGCCAAGUGAUACUGUCGGGCUAGAGUGCGGAAGGGGCUACUGGAAUUCUCGGUGUAGCGGUGAAAUGCGUAGAUAUCGAGAGGAACACCUGCGGCGAAGGCGGGUAGCUGGGCCGACACUGACGCUGAGGCGCGAAAGCCAGGGGAGCGAACGGG